ACAGCUGCUCAGCGGUAGAGCAUUGGCCUGCAGCUCUAGAAGUUCUCAGUUCAAAUCUGGGUGCUCUC